rnacentral:rRNA from 1 species
UACGGAAGGUCCGGGCGUUAUCCGGAUUUAUUGGGUUUAAAGGGAGCGUAGGCCGGAGAUUAAGCGUGUUGUGAAAUGUAGACGCUCAACGUCUGCACUGCAGCGCGAACUGGUUUCCUUGAGUACGCACAAAGUGGGCGGAAUUCGUGGUGUAGCGGUGAAAUGCUUAGAUAUCACGAAGAACUCCGAUUGCGAAGGCAGCUCACUGGAGCGCAACUGACGCUGAAGCUCGAAAGUGCGGGUAUCGAACAGGAUUAGAUACCCUGGUAGUCCGCACGGUAAACGAUGGAUGCCCGCUGUUGGUCUGAAU